AGCACUACCAAAUUAAAUAUCAUCAAUAAUAUGUUUUAUUAUAUUCCACUGAAAAUGAGAAUUAGAUACCAAAAUGUCGCUGCAUGCAUAGUAUUGGUACUUGUGGUGGUGGUGGCUGAAAUCGCAGAGUUAUGCAUCUGUGAAAAUUCAACUACUCGCCGCCACUCUCGGUGUCUUGAACGAGAAAGGCAAGCUCUUGUGAAGUUCAAAGCAUCCCUGAAUGAUCCAUUUAACAUGCUUUCCUCAUGGCAUGGCCAUGACUGCUGCCGAUGGAAAGGGAUCGGUUGUGACAAUGUUACUGGUCACGUUGUCAUGCUUGAUUUCGCCUCUCCUUAUGUGAAAUGCUGGAGAUCCGUGCCUCAAAUUGAAUACAACGUGGCGGAAGAAUUUGAUGAUGAGUUCAUAUCAAGUGAAUGUGAACCUUUCAUCCGUCAAUAUGUGGAAGCAACGAAUGUUAAUUCGUCCCUACUGGAACUGGAAUACUUGACUCAUUUGGACUUGAGUGGAAAUCACUUCUAUGAGAGUCCCAUACCGAUGUUCAUUGGUUCUAUGCAACGCCUGAGGUAUUUGUCCCUCUCUGAUGCUGGUUUUGGCGGGAGAAUACUCAACAAUCUUGGAAAUCUCACCAACCUCCACUUUCUUGAUUUGAGUGGAAAUGAGUUUUCCCGAGCCAGCAACAUCAAUUGGAUUUCAAAACUGCCAUUGCUGGAGCACCUCGACAUGAGCUCUAUUUACAAUGGGUUGCAGGUUAAUGUUAUUAAUCUCACCAUCAGUGCUUCUAAACUUCAAUUCCUAAGUCUUGCCGACAAUGGACUUAGCGUGUCAAAUUUGGAUGCUUUACAAAACAUGACAUCUCUUAUGCAUCUUGAUCUUGGUGGGAAUAGUAUUACUUUAAAUUCAUCUUUGUUUGGCAACUUCAAGAAACUUGAGUAUCUUGAUCUUUCAAGGUGUGGACUUCAUGGCCCAAUUCCAAAUGCUUUCCAAAAUGCAACUUUCAUUGAAUUUUUGGACUUUUCUGAAAACAACUUUGACUCUUUUCCAUCCUGGUUUCACAAGUUUGAGAAACUCAAGCAUCUUUUUCUCUCAUCUAAUAAUUUCCAAGAUAUAAUUCCGGAUGCUUUACAAAAUAUGACUAGCAUUGAAUUCCUUGACCUUUCUGACAACUCUUUCACUUCAGUUCCAUCUUGGUUUGUUGAGUUAAAGAAACUUGUCUAUCUCAGUCUUUCAAGUAAUGAAUUAACAUCCAUGGAAUGUUCCAUUUCAUCCAUUUUGAAAAAUAUGUGUCACCUAAAAAGUUUACAUGUAGCAGGAAACAGACUCCGAAAAGAAUCCAUUGGAAAUAAUGAUUUGUCUACCUGCAUUAGACAUGAUUUGGAGAAUCUUGACUUGAGUCAAAAUGAAUUUAAUGAUCAAUUGCCAUCUUGGUUAGGACAACUUGAAAAUCUAGGCAACCUUGAUUUCCAAGAUAAUUUUUUCUAUGGUCCCAUUCCCUCUUCUUUUGGAAAAUUACUGAAAUUGGAAAAUUUAUAUCUAUCCAGCAACAAGUUAGAAGGGGACCUUCCUGAUUUCAUGGGACAACUAGUAAAUUUACAGGUGGUCGAUCUUUCAAAUAAUUUAUUUAAUGGAACCAUUACCCAAAAUCUUGGACAACUUGUAAAUUUACGAGUUCUUUGUGUCUCAAAUAAUUCUUUAAAGGGAACAAUUCCUGAAAAUAUUAGACAACUUGUAAACUUACAAAGUAUUGAUCUCUCAAAUAAUUAUUUGACAGGAACCAUUCCUACGAGUCUUGAUCAACUAGUAAAUGUAACUAGCCUUGACUUUUCCAAUAAUUUUUUGAAUGGCUCAAUUCCUAUGGGACUUAAUCAACUUGUAAAUCUGAAUACACUUGAUCUUUCAAGAAACAAACUAGAUGGGAGAAUUUGUAUUGAUUUUCAAAAACUUGGGAUUCUAUCAUACUUGGAUCUAUCUUCAAACAAUUUGAAUGGACCCAUUACAGAGGAAGAAAGUUGGCCUUUGUUUAUCCCAGAAAUGGUGUAUUUGAAUCUCUCCCAUAAUCAUAUCAGUGGCUCACUUCCUGAACAUAUUGGUCAUAUGAUGCCCAAUUUGUCAUCCUUGAUUCUUGGAAAUAACCUCAUAAAUGGUUCAAUUCCAAAAUCAUUGUGCCAAGUUGAUAAUUUGAGUAUCCUUGACCUUUCAAAGAACAGACUAUCUGGUAAAAUCCCCAAUUGUUGGAAGGAUAACAUAGCAUGGGAAGAAAUAAAUUUAUCAUCCAACAAACUAACAGGUACUUUUCCAAGCUCACUUGGGAAUCUUUCCUCUUUGUCAUGGUUGCAUUUGAACAAUAACAGCCUUCGUGGAGAGUUUCUAGCGUCUGUGAGAAAUUUGAAGCAAUUGUUGAUCUUGGAUCUCGGAGAGAAUCAACUUUCUGGCACCAUCCCAUCAUGGAGUGCUAACACAUUUUCUUCACUACAAAUUCUAAGAUUGCGGCAAAACAGGUUAGGUGGCAGCAUUCCUUCGAAGAUUUGUGAACUAUCAUCCAUUCAAAUCUUGGACCUUUCUCGCAACAAUUUAAAUGGUUCAAUACCUCGCUGCAUAGGCAAUCUUCGAGGAAUGACUCUUGAGGCUCCUGCUUUGUCUCCUACUUCAUCUGCUGCCGCGCUUCUCAAUUCGCCUCGUGCACGAAUAUUUGAAUCUGAUUGGGAAACGGAGGAUGUCAUAGAAGUCAUGAAAGGAAGAGAACUUGACUACAUAAGAAUCUUGAAGCUUGUAGUCAUCAUGGAUUUGUCCCAGAAUAAUUUGCUUGGCUCCAUUCCAAAAGGAAUAACAUUGCUCAAUGGUUUGCAUAGCUUGAAUCUAUCAAACAAUCAUUUGAUCGGAAAGAUCCCUAACAUGAUAGGGGAUAUGAGAUCACUUGAAUCCUUUGAUGUUUCAACUAACCAACUCUCGAGUACAAUUCCAAGCAGCAUGUCAGCCUUAACAUCACUAAGUCACUUAAAUUUGUCACACAAUAACUUCUCUGGGACAAUUCCCACAGACAACCAGUUUUUAACAUAUGAUGCAUCCAGUUAUGCUGGCAACCCAUAUCUUUGUGGAUCUCCUCUACCCAACAAAUGUGGUUAUUUACAUGAAGAUCAUGGGGGCAGCGAAUUUGAAGAUGAUGACAGCAACUUAGAUAUGUUGGAAAAGUGGUUGUUCUACUUUGUGAUUGCAAUUGGCUUUGCAACUGGGUUUUGGGGAGUUAUUGGCACUUUGUGGUUCAAGAAAACUUGGAGGCAUGCUUACUUCAGAUGGGUAGAAGAUUUAGCCGACAUUAUCUAUGUCACAACUGCAAUAAGAAUGGCAAAAUUGAAGAAGUGGAUGAUGAUGAGAAGCCGUGUUGUUGCUUGAUCAUGUAUUCAAAGGUGGAAAUAAAUUAAGGAAAGUGAAUAAUGUUUGAUGCAUGUAUCAAUGUAUGUGUUUGCAUGAAUUUGUAAUAGAGAUUGUCAAUUGAUGUUUAAUCUCCUGAAGAACCUCUGCAUAAAACAGAACAACAUAUCUAACAAAAUUAUAAAUUGAAGUUGAGUUAAUAGCUCCCUUCUGCAAUUCACCUCUUUUGAUGCACCAAUUUUCUUAAAUUCCUUUUGAUUUCAUUUUCUCUGAACCUUGAUUCAAUGCAGCAGUAACCAUACCACAACUGUUAUGUAACUAUACACUUCAUUUGUGGUUCAAUAUACUUCCUAGUUACUGUAAUGUCCCAAGCUUUUUUUCUUUCUAUUAUUACUAUCCUACCCUUUAAUUUUAUCAAAAUUCCUACAUUACCCUUAUUCCUCCUACCCAAACCCAACCCUAAAUUACUAAACAACUUCCACUCUUCCUCAUCAACCACAGCCCCCCCUUCUUUUCAAAACUCACAUCAUACACAUACACCCACGCAGAAAAAAAAAGAGAGAACGGCAGAAGGGGCUGCAGCCUCCACGCCUCGCCGCCGAAGUUCUGCUGCUGCCAAGUCGCCAUCGACGUCAACCCUAGAGAAAGAGGGAGUCUGGGAGUUGAAGGAAGCUGGAGGAGUGUCGCUGCCGUUAGCAUUUUGCAGUGCCGUCAUCAUAGUCACGGAGAAGGAGGAGGACCCACGAGGAAGAGAGGGACGCGGUCAGUCUCAUCGUCAUCAGAUCCGUCUUUGCCGAUGGAGACCCCGUCGCUAAGCUGCUGCGCCGCCGCUGCCACCGUUGGGUUUCCGGGAAGAGGAGCUCGAACGGGAGAGAGAGAACGAGAGAGAGAGUUCGCAGAAAGAGAAACAUCACCAUACACAAACAGAGGGGGAGGAGGAACUCACCGGAGGAGAGGAGACUCGUCGCCGUGCCUCUAGUCGCCAGGAACGGCGCUACCGUCGCCGGAAAACACGCCGGAGCUUCCAAACUCACCGGCAACACUACCUUGCCACUGUUCUGAAUUUUAUCUGCCUUUGUCUCUGUAUUCGAUUUGAAAUGACUGCCUGGUGUUGUGGUCCUUGUCGCUGUCGUGAGACGCACUCUGAAUUUGGUCUCUUCGAUCCGUUAGGACCAUGCUGAUUAAAUAUUUGACUAUAUGAGACUUUCUAUUCAAGAGUAACGGUCUGCAAUGAGUACUUAUUCUUUGUCGAAUUUCUAGAAGUCUAUGCUCCAUAUGUCACAUGCAGGAUUCAACCAUUCUUAGUUAUUUUAAUUUAUAUUAAAAAUAUAACUAUUUAUUUUAGAACUUGUAAAAUAUUUGUAACUCGCUUAUUCAACUUAUAUUUGAGUAUGUUAGACUUGCUAUAGGAUUAUUUUCUUGAGCGCCAAUCAUAACUCAUUUUGAGUCGUGACAGUUACAGAUGGCAGAGGCUAUUGAUUCAA